rnacentral:tRNA from 1 species
GGCCGGAUAGCUCAGUCGGUAGAGCAGAGGAUUGAAAAUCCUCGUGUCGGCGGUUCGAUUCCGUCUCCGGCCA